rnacentral:rRNA from 1 species
GAUGAACGCUGGCGGCGUGCCUAAUACAUGCAAGUCGAGCGAACGGACGAGAAGCUUGCUUCUCUGAUGUUAGCGGCGGACGGGUGAGUAACACGUGGAUAACCUACCUAUAAGACUGGGAUAACUUCGGGAAACCGGAGCUAAUACCGGAUGAUAUUUUGAACCGCAUGGUUCAAAAGUGAAAGACGGUCUUGCUGUCACUUAUAGAUGGAUCCGCGCUGCAUUAGCUAGUUGGUAAGGUAACGGCUUACCAAGGCAACGAUGCAUAGCCGACCUGAGAGGGUGAUCGGCCACACUGGAACUGAGACACGGUCCAGACUCCUACGGGAGGCAGCAGUAGGGAAUCUUCCGCAAUGGGCGAAAGCCUGACGGAGCAACGCCGCGUGAGUGAUGAAGGUCUUCGGAUCGUAAAACUCUGUUAUUAGGGAAGAACAUAUGUGUAAGUAACUGUGCACAUCUUGACGGUACCUAAUCAGAAAGCCACGGCUAACUACGUGCCAGCAGCCGCGGUAAUACGUAGGUGGCAAGCGUUAUCCGGAAUUAUUGGGCGUAAAGCGCGCGUAGGCGGUUUUUUAAGUCUGAUGUGAAAGCCCACGGCUCAACCGUGGAGGGUCAUUGGAAACUGGAAAACUUGAGUGCAGAAGAGGAAAGUGGAAUUCCAUGUGUAGCGGUGAAAUGCGCAGAGAUAUGGAGGAACACCAGUGGCGAAGGCGACUUUCUGGUCUGUAACUGACGCUGAUGUGCGAAAGCGUGGGGAUCAAACAGGAUUAGAUACCCUGGUAGUCCACGCCGUAAACGAUGAGUGCUAAGUGUUAGGGGGUUUCCGCCCCUUAGUGCUGCAGCUAACGCAUUAAGCACUCCGCCUGGGGAGUACGACCGCAAGGUUGAAACUCAAAGGAAUUGACGGGGACCCGCACAAGCGGUGGAGCAUGUGGUUUAAUUCGAAGCAACGCGAAGAACCUUACCAAAUCUUGACAUCCUUUGACAACUCUAGAGAUAGAGCCUUCCCCUUCGGGGGACAAAGUGACAGGUGGUGCAUGGUUGUCGUCAGCUCGUGUCGUGAGAUGUUGGGUUAAGUCCCGCAACGAGCGCAACCCUUAAGCUUAGUUGCCAUCAUUAAGUUGGGCACUCUAAGUUGACUGCCGGUGACAAACCGGAGGAAGGUGGGGAUGACGUCAAAUCAUCAUGCCCCUUAUGAUUUGGGCUACACACGUGCUACAAUGGACAAUACAAAGGGCAGCGAAACCGCGAGGUCAAGCAAAUCCCAUAAAGUUGUUCUCAGUUCGGAUUGUAGUCUGCAACACGACUACAUGAAGCUGGAAUCGCUAGUAAUCGUAGAUCAGCAUGCUACGGUGAAUACGUUCCCGGGUCU